UCAGUUCCGGGACUAGGACCGGCCAGCAUCAGGGCUAGGGCUGUAAAGCUACGUGCCGGGGUUCCUAGCCGGCUGCUAUUUGGCGCCGAGUCCUCAGCAUGGCUGCCUCCAGGGUUGAGGGCCGGGGAGCUGCCACACCCUCGUUUUGUUGACCGCUCCUGGCGUCUGUGCUCUUCUUGUCUUUCCUGGGCUGCUCGAGCAGACAUGUUCGCUAAGGCCUUUCGGGUCAAGUCCAACACAGCCAUCAAGGGAUCGGACAGGAGAAAACUUCGGGCCGAUGUGACAGUUGCUUUUCCCACCCUCGGAACAGAUCAGGUCUCUGAAUUGAUCCCUGGAAAGGAAGAACUAAACGUUGUGAAGUUGUACGCUCACAAAGGGGAUGCAGUGACUGUGUACACGAGUGGUGGUAACCCCAUCCUAUUUGAACUGGAGAAAAACUUGUAUCCAACAGUGUACACACUGUGGUCCCAUCCUGAUCUUCUACCAGCCUUUAUAACAUGGCCUCUGGUACUUGAAAAACUGGUCGGGGGAGCAGAUUUGAUGCUGCCCGGGGUAGUGGUGCCCCCUACUGGUCUGCCUCAGGUACAGCAAGGCGACCUCUGCGCCAUUGCCUUGGUGGGGAACAGAGCGCCCGUUGCAGUCGGAGUAGCUGCCAUGUCCACAGCUCAGAUGCUGGCUUCAGGCCUGAAGGGAAAAGGCAUCUCUGUGCUCCACACUUAUCAGGACCACUUGUGGAGAUCUGGAGACAAGUCCUCUCCACCUGCCAUUGCCCCACUGGAUCCCACAGAUAGCUGCGAAGAGAAGGCGGACCUUGGUCUGCACGGAAACCUGAGGAGUCUGAGCCUGGAAGGAGAAGAGGAAAAUGGGCAGGUUCCUAACACAGAAGCCUCUGAUGACCCCAGCUCCAGCGCCCUGAGCCAGGACUCCGUGGAUGGCAAGCCCCUUCAGGAGCAAAUGGAUGAGCUGUUAGAGCAGUGCUUCCUGCAUGCUUUGAAGAGUCGAGUCAAAAAAGCUGACCUCCCUUUGCUCACCAGCACGCUCCUUGGCAGUCACAUGUUCUCCUGCUGUCCUGAAGGACAGCAACUGGAUAUAAAGAAGUCAAGCUAUAAAAAGCUCUCUAAGUUCCUGCAGCACAUGCAGCAGGAGCAGAUUGUCCAAGUCAAGGAGCUGAGCAAAGGGGUGGAGAGCAUCGUGGCUGUGGACUGGAGGCACCCGAGGAUCACAUCCUUCGUCGUCCCCGAGCCGUCCCUGGCUUCCCAGACUGUCCAGGAAGGUAGCAGGGAAAAGCCCUAUCUCCCUCCAGAUAUAAAAUCCCUCUACUGCGUCCCCGCCAACAUGACCCAGCUCUUCCUGGAGUCUGGCCACAAGAAGGGGAGCACCCUCGAGGGCAGUGAGGUCCGAAGGAUCAUCACUGACUAUGCCAAGAGAAACAACCUGGUGGAUGCAGACAACAGGAAUCUGGUGAAGUUGGAUCCCAUCUUAUGUGACUGUAUCUUAGAGAAAAAUGAGCAGCACUUGGUCAUGAAGCUUCCGUGGGACUCUCUCCUGACCAGGUGUUUGAAAAAUCUGCAGCCUGCCUACCAAGUGACAUUUCCUGGCCAGGAACCCAUUAUAAAGAAAGGGAAACUCUGUCCAAUUGAUAUCACCCUUGUACUGAAGACUUAUAAUAAAAAGGUGACUGUGGUCCGGAACUUGGAGACCUAUGGUCUAGAUCCAUGCUCAGUGGCCGCCAUUCUCCAGCAGCGGUGUCAGGCCAGCACCAUCGUCUCUCCUGCCCCUGGGGCCAAAGACAGUCUGCAGGUGCAGGUCCAGGGAAACCAGAUCCACCACCUCGGCCAGCUAUUGCUUGGAUGCCUGGUGGAGAGGGGCAGAACUGGAUAAGCUUUGAAGAGCCCCUGCAGCCUGAAGCCAUGUGCAUUGCGAGAUACACAAGCAACACUGAAAGAUGGUGACAUUCAAUGAGGACAUUCAAUGAGGACAUUUCCAUGGUGAACUGUUUUUACACUGGUGAUUGGUUGGAGUUUGGUGAGCAGAGAGGCAACCAUUUGGUUUCCGAAAAGCCAGCAGAUUGAACAGGGGAAAUACUGGUCAUUCCACAGGAGUUCUGAUCCCAGACGGAAAAUCUCCAGAGCCAUGGUGUGGUGGGUUAGCAGGAAUCAAACCCUGCACAGACACUUCAUGGAAGAGACUUUGUGCCACAUCUGUUAACUGCUGGGCAGGCACAGGUGGACAUAUCAGAGGUGCCUUGAGAAUAACUGUUCAUUGCAAAAUAAUUAACAAUAAAAUAAAUCGGAGGGCACUGAGAGGACAGGAAGUAAGCUGGUUACCCAGGCUUCCCUUGGGACUCUCGUAAGGCCUCCUCCAGUUUCUGC